ACCAGGCAUAGUGGCACAUGCCUGUAAUCCCAGUGGCACAGGAGGUUGAGGCAGGAGGAUCGCAAGUUCAAGGCCAGCUUCAGCAAGUUAGUGAGGCCCUAAGCAACUUAGCAAGACCCUGACUCAA
rnacentral:sRNA from 1 species